rnacentral:rRNA from 1 species
GGGCCCGCACAAGCAGCGGAGCAUGUGGUUUAAUUCGAAGCAACGCGAAGAACCUUACCAGGUCUUGACAUUGAUGUAAACCUGUAGAGAUACGGGGUGCCUUCGGGCAACAGAAAACAGGUGGUGCAUGGUUGUCGUCAGCUCGUGUCGUGAGAUGUUGGGUUAAGUCCCGCAACGAGCGCAACCCUUGCGAUUGGUUGCUAACAGGUAGUGCUGAGAACUCCAAUAGGACCGCCGGGGACAACUCGGAGGAAGGUGGGGACGACGUCAAAUCAUCAUGCCCCUUAUGACCUGGGCUACACACGUGCUACAAUGGCCACUACAAAGAGGCGCGAUACCGUAAGGUGGAGCAGAUCUGUAAAAAAGUGGUCCCAGUUCGGAUUGAGGGCUGCAACCCGCCCUCAUGAAGUCGGAGUUGCUAGUAAUCGCGAAUCAGCAUGUCG